AAAACUUAAGAAAGAAUUAUUAUUAUUCUAUUAAUUU
rnacentral:tRNA from 1 species